rnacentral:tRNA from 1 species
UCCCCCUUAGCUCAGUGGUAGAGCGCGUCACUAGUAGUAAACAACGAAAUGACGAGGUCAGUCGUUCAAGUCGGCUAGGGGGAA